rnacentral:sRNA from 1 species
UACCGCAUAGUGCGCGCCGAAGGCUCGCCU